GGCGGUUAAAAUUUUCACUUACAAUGAAAGACACCCUUUAGGGCGCUUUUAUACCGGUAAAUAUUUAAU
rnacentral:tRNA from 1 species